GGGCUGUACUGAGAUCAUCUACAGGGUAUUCAGAUUACCCUUGAGGUAUUACUUGUUUUCUCAUCCCUUUUAGAUUUAUUUUAGGCUUAAUAUCAGAUAUGAAGAUUAGAUCUAAAGACUCAGAUCUGAAAUAAAUAUAAGAUAAAUUUUUUUGAAAUUAUUCCACCCCAGAUUUGAUGAAAUCUGGAAGAUCCUACAAAGGAAAAAAGCUGUUUUUCCUUCACACCUA
rnacentral:lncRNA from 1 species